GACUUCGUGGUGUAGUGGUUAGCACACUGGGCAUGUAAUCCAGAGAGCCGUGGUUCGAGUCCCAGCGAAAGCG
rnacentral:tRNA from 1 species